rnacentral:rRNA from 1 species
GACGAACGCUGGCGGCGUGCCUAAUACAUGCAAGUUGAGCGCUGAAGGUUGGUACUUGUACCAACUGGAUGAGCAGCGAACGGGUGAGUAACGCGUGGGGAAUCUGCCUUUGAGCGGGGGACAACAUUUGGAAACGAAUGCUAAUACCGCAUAAAAACUUUAAACACAAGUUUUAAGUUUGAAAGAUGCAAUUGCAUCACUCAAAGAUGAUCCCGCGUUGUAUUAGCUAGUUGGUGAGGUAAAGGCUCACCAAGGCGAUGAUACAUAGCCGACCUGAGAGGGUGAUCGGCCACAUUGGGACUGAGACACGGCCCAAACUCCUACGGGAGGCAGCAGUAAGGAAUCUUCGGCAAUGGACGAAAGUCUGACCGAGCAACGCCGCGUGAGUGAAGAAGCUUUUCGGAUCGUAAAACUCUGUUGGUAGAGAAGAACGUUGGUGAGAGUGGAAAGCUCAUCAAGUGACGGUAACUACCCAGAAAGGGACGGCUAACUACGUG